rnacentral:rRNA from 1 species
AGCGAACGCUGGCGGCAGGCCUAACACAUGCAAGUCGAACGAAGCCUUCGGGCUUAGUGGCGGACGGGUGAGUAACACGUGGGAACGUACCUUUUGGUUCGGAACAACUCAGGGAAACUUGAGCUAAUACCGGAUGAGCCCUUAGGGGGAAAGAUUUAUCGCCGAAAGAGCGGCCCGCGUUAGAUUAGCUAGUUGGUGAGGUAAAGGCUCACCAAGGCUACGAUCUAUAGCUGGUCUGAGAGGAUGAUCAGCCACACUGGGACUGAGACACGGCCCAGACUCCUACGGGAGGCAGCAGUGGGGAAUCUUGCGCAAUGGGCGAAAGCCUGACGCAGCCAUGCCGCGUGAAUGAUGAAGGUCUUAGGAUUGGAAAAUUCUUUUACCAGGGACGAUAAUGACGGUACCUGGAGAAAAAGCCCCGGCUAACUUCGUGCCAGCCGCCGCCGUAAUAC